GAUUAAGGUCCUUGAAAGUGAAAUCAGAAGCCUUUGGGUUUUGAAGAUGAGUGAUAUGAUCAUUUUAAAAAGUUCACUCUGUCUCAUAAGACACUGUAGUGGGACCAAGGCAGAAACAGAGAGACCAGGAGUUUAUGACACCGUGUGAAGAGAACACGCUGACUUUGAUACAUCAGAAAUGCAUUUGUUUAGAAAACAUUUCGUUGACAUUUCUUGUAGAAAAUAGCUUCACAUUAGCGUAGGAUAGGCUGAGACUGUGACAGUAUGAGUCAGUAAGAACUCUCUGAGUUUCGUUUUUCAAGUAAGAAUUUACUGGAUAGUUUAACAAGUGGACAAUAUGUGGGGUGAAAGAGUUUACACAUUUGAAUUUAUUUUGUUAUAACAUUUGGGAUUAUUACUAAGAGAGAUACACUGAGGCCACAACAUAAAUAAGCCCAGUCUAAAUUAAAAGCCAUCAUCUUCCAGGCGUCCAUUUCUUUGACCUAAUGCCUAGAUGUUUACCUUUCUCAUGUGCUGGAGUUACAAAUAAUUUUUCACAAAGCAUCUUCUCUCAAAUAAAUCAUUAUAUUGAGAGGAAUUGUCUGAAAGUAAAGUCCCUUAUACCUCAGGAGGAUCCAGACUGAAUCACUGAACUGAAGGAAUGUUUGCAGGUCAACCAGAGGAACUUUGUUUCAGACUGUGGGCUGGGUCUAGGCCUUAUCCACAUGUCUUUCAUUGGAAAGGAACAGUUAUUUCUGGUGCACACAUAGAAGGACAAGAGGCCAAGCCAAACCACACAAACACAGUUAAAGCUUCCACUCACAUUAUAUUUGCUAACUAUUCAUAAUCCAAAGCUACUCAGAUGUUAAAGCUCAAAGUCAAUGGAGCAAAGAAGAAAAAUCUACCUAUUGGAUUAAUAGACAAUACCAAGUUUCAGGGCAAAAGGAAUGUGUGGAGAAUUCAGUUUCAGGGAGAGAGUAAAAAGUGAAGAAUGACAAUUCAAUCUACUCUGUUCCUUUUCAGCCACUGGAUAUGUAGCUGUGCUUUGAUAUAUGAAACUAUUUCAACAAACCUCAUUUCAAGGAGUUGCAUAUUUACAUGUAGCUUUAGAAAUGAUGUGCAUGUGCAAGAAUCCUUUGGUGGAAUUAUGUUAUAUUAUUUACAGGCUAAUAAAAAAUUCACAUUAGAACAAUAUGCUUGCUUUUAGUGGAUUAAAUUUUAAAUACAUACUAUGAGGCUCUGAUAGCAUUAAUUAUUCAUUUCAUCUACAUUGUUGUUUUGCUUACAUUAUUUCAAGAAAUAGAAAUCUUAUGGAAGCUCAGCAAUUAUAUGAGUAGAAAUGUGAUUUUUAAUUUAGUUUUACAUAUUUCCUUUGUUAAGUAGGGCAUGUAGUUUACCGGACAUUGCAUAAAACGCAGCUCUCCCUAUUGGUACCAAGUUGGCAGGCAAUUUGGUUUUAAUCCUGUCCAGAGAUUGCUUGUGCGUUCCCAUACAUUUCAACUCUGAUCUUCUAAUGGUCAUUUGUUGUGCUGUGAUUACAUGGAUGAACUGCAAAGAGAUCAUUUGACUAAAUUGUCAACUUAAGUGCACAGUAUCUGUACAAGGGAAAAAUGCU
rnacentral:lncRNA from 1 species